UAGGGACUGAUGAAAAUGUAGUCCCAAAUGAAAGGUCAGCCUCCAUCCUUGGUCAACACCUUGGACAAAUAGCAGAAAAGCCAUCAUUAGCUCCUUUACACAUUCAAAGAUGGGACAAUGCUCUGUUCAAGACACACAAGGAACAAAUAAUCAAGGAUGUUGAGGAAAAGUUUGACUUCCCUCGCUCAACUAGACAGCUCUCAAGGGAUUGGAUCCUAAGGACUGUUAACAAUAGAUGGAGAGCCUACAAAUCUAAGUUGAA